AAAUAAGAAGCCACUUACAUCUGGAACUGUAACCUCUUAUCCUAACCUUUCCUUAUCUAAUAAUAUGGCUUUUGAAUAAUGCAAUUAGGGGAAGUUUGGAAUUUGGAUAGACCCUAGAAUGCAGAUGUAAUUUAAGCAUCCUUACGUCUACAUUUUGUGGGAUGUUGGGUUUUUUGGGCAUCUCAUUCUCUUUUAUCGUCUUUCCUACAAGAAGAUUAUGAGAAGCUAGUCUCAAACUUGCGCCGCGUUCGAUAUGAAUCAACUUUGAGCUAAAGCCAGUUCUUCAAAUCUUAUAUGAAAUGGGACGUGCUCUAAUGAUACUGAUACCUCCGUAAGCUAAUGAUGGCACCUGGUAGAUAUGGGGCCCACAUGUAUGCAGGCCAUCCAACUCAUUCAUCAGAGGGUCACCUCAUGCUACUGUAUUCUAGGUUUUGAUAGUCUUCUUUCAAAUGUUCACCCUAACACUAAAUUGCGCAGGUUAUCAUGGCUCGUGGGUGCUUUGAUGAUACUAAGGGAGCUGUGCUGGUUAAAAGUUUGGCUACCAAGGAACCAUCUACUCUUGCCUUGGAUACUUACUACAAGCAGUAUUAUCUCUGUUUGGCUGCUGCUGCUGCUACUAUCAAAUGGAUGAUAGUGUUAAAUGGAGAGCAUUGCAAGUUAUUUCAAGUUCACUUGGUAUUCACUUAUUAGGUUGUAUGUUUUCUUGGUCAUGGGACAGAAGAAGAUGCCCAUGAAUUUUUGAGGUCAGCUGUUUAAACUAUUUCUGGAGUUUAUGCUGCAUCCAUCUGGACAUAUAUUUUAUCAUUUCAAAUGCAUGUAAUGAUAUCCUGUUAAUGGGUGAUUUUGGCAGGUAUGC